rnacentral:rRNA from 1 species
CCUACGGGAGGCAGCAGUGAGGAAUAUUGGUCAAUGGACGAGAGUCUGAACCAGCCAAGUAGCGUGAAGGAUGACUGCCCUAUGGGUUGUAAACUUCUUUUAUAUGGGAAUAAAAUGUUCCACGUGUGGGAUUUUGUAUGUACCAUAUGAAUAAGCAUCGGCUAACUCCGUGCCAGCAGCCGCGGUAAUACGGAGGAUCCGAGCGUUAUCCGGAUUUAUUGGGUUUAAAGGGUGCGUAGGCGGAUUGUUAAGUCAGUUGUUAAAGUUUGCGGCUCAAACGUAAAAUUGCAGUUGAAACUGGCAGUCUUGAGUACAGUAGAGGUGUGCGGAAUGCGUGGUGUAGCGGUGAAAUGCUUAGAUAUCACGAAGAACUCCGAUUGCGAAGGCAGCUCACUGGACUGCAACUGACGCUGAGGCUCGAAAGUGUGGGUAUCAAACAGGGUUAGAUACCCGAGUAGUC